rnacentral:tRNA from 1 species
GGGCCUAUAGCUCAGUUGGUUAGAGCAGCGGGCUCAUAACCUGUUGGUCGGUGGUUCAAGUCCACCUAGGCCCA